GACGAACGCUGGCGGCGUGCUUAACACAUGCAAGUCGAACGGACAGGCCCUGCUCUUGUGGGGUGCUCGAGUGGCGAACGGGUGAGUAACACGUGAGUAAAAUGUACUUGACUUUGGGAUAAAUUCAGGGAACUGGGGAUCAUACCGGGUAGGAGCUCCUGAUGCAUGUGGGUGGAUGGAAAGAUUCGGCGGUUGGGGCUGGAAUCGCGGCUUAUGAGCUUGUUGGUGAGGUAGUCGCUUACCCAGGCUAUGAAGGGUAGCCCGCCUGAGAGGGUGGCCGGCCACACUGGGACUGAGGGACGGCCCAGUCUCCUACGUUAGGCAGCAGUGGAGAAUAUUGCACAAUGGGCGGAAGCCUGAUGCAGCAACGUCGCGUGCGUGAUGACGUCCUUCGAGUGAUAAACCACUUUCUCCGUUGACGAGGCGUUAUUGACGGUAAUUGGUAAAGAAGCAACGGCUAACUACGUG
rnacentral:rRNA from 1 species